UUUACUCUGUAAAUAAGAAAAAUGCGAUUUAAAUUGGUAAAAUAUCGAUUCAAACUAGUUUUUAUUUUUGUUUUUCUUUUUUAGCAUCAAACUAAACGAAUCAC